rnacentral:lncRNA from 10 species
ACUCAACUUGAGCUCGGCAGUAAAAGCAGAGAGGCAAAGAAAACACUUGUGCCCUGGGCCUGCCCUCUCCGGGUGUGGCAGCCUAGGGGGAGAAGUAUCAGCCCACCUGAGUCUGGGUUUGUGCAGAAACUUCCCUGGCGGAAAAGGCGUCGUAAAAGGGGUUUAAGAAAUCCCACUGGAUGCUUUCCCAGAGCCUUGGUGUUACGGCGCUCAGCUCCAAUGCACAGACUGCGCUACGAAGGCGCCCUGCGCAGGGAUUGGCUGCAGCACCCAGGAUUUGCAUUCCUGUUUGGAGUCAGGAUUUCCAUGGUCUACACCUCAUGUGUUGCAUGUAGACGUUCAAGGUAUUUUUAUUGUGAUAUGUCAGCACACAGAAUUGGAAGGCAUGUCACAAGGUCAGGAGUUCGAGUUCUGUUGAUAGUCUCAGACCUCUUCCAACUUCAACAAGGUCAACAAGAUAAACCACAAACCUGGAUGAGUUCAUGUUAUUCCAGAUGCAUUAUCUCCUAAUCUUCAGGAAGAGGCUCCUUCAGCGGGAAGGAGCAUGGCAGGAUCUUCCCUGAAAAAACAGAAAUAGCCGUGUCUAAUCCCUGCUCUGCCUGGAAAGGAAAAGGCUCACCUACUUCCCAUGUCAAGGCAAGAAUCAGAAUUCCUCUCAAAUUCUUAAAACAUUGCAAAGUAAAGACAGAUACUAACUCUAAAUAUGAUUCAUGCUCAAGUUAUUAAAAAUGGAAUACAUUGUACCAGAAGGAAAAUGGUAAACAAUUUUAAAUUCCAAAGGCAAGGGAAUGUUUUUGGUUUAAUAACCAGAGUAUGGCUUCAACAGGAGCUUAUGUAGUAUACACACCAUAAUUAAAUCUAAUUCAAUCACCUGAGUAAUCAAGUGGUUAAGCGAAUAAACUAAGUAAUCAAUCGUAAAAGUGAUUUGCUGUUUAGAAGAAAGAAGUUGUAAUAUGUGUGCCAAUAUUUUUAAAGAAUAAGGAAUCUCAGGUCUUCAACUCUGUCAACAAUUAUUAGCAUUGUUUUGUUUCAGUCUUCUUAUUUACAGAGUAAAAAGACCAUUCAUUCAUUCAACAAGUAUUUAUGGAAAGCAGCAUUUUCUGAACAUGAUUCCUGCACUCAAGGUGUUUUACAAUCAUGUGGCCUGCCACUUUAUUGAAGAUGUUUUAGGGAAAACAAUUAACUUUUGACAAAGUUCAGAAUUAUUCAAACAUAACAUAAAUGGCCAAUGAAUCUUUUCAGAGAAAGCAUAGUCUAGUGGAUAAAUAUUUACACUAGUCUGCCCCUGAGUCUUACAAUUUUUCUAUGUCCAUUUUUCCUCACUCUGUAAUGGUGGGCAGACAGAAGGUGGGGCUAGCUGACCUUCAAAUUCCCUUCCAAUUUUUAUGAAAUACAAUUUUUAGUAUUAAGUGAGUAAUCACAUUGUGCAAGGUGCUUACCUGGAUAUAGCUCAGUUCUUUUUCUGAUUGCAAGAACAGAGCAAGAUGGAACCAUGAACUGCUAAACGACCCAUGGCAAUUUUUAAAGGAUUCCUCAAGCAGAUGGUUCUCUGGUAGUUCUUACAGCAGGAAAAGCCCCCUACAGUUCACAAAAGAGUCAAGUUGCAUUCUUCCAAACUGUCCUGAUUUUGCCGAUUUGCACAAUCUAAUAAAAUCUUUCCAUCAUAUUUCUCUUUUCCAUUUGUGGACCACUACUCAGUGAGUACAUUUAUUAUGUGUGGCUAAUAAUUUACUUUUUUGUUCUUUUUUGUUGUAAAAGCGUCAUAUUAACUACCUUUUGAGCGCAUGAAAAUGCAUAUUCGAAACAUUGCUGAGUUCAGAUUGAUUGAAUUUGACUGUGACCUUAGUGAGCCAUUCAUUUAUUCAACAAGGUUUGAUUGAACAUUUACCAUCCUAUCACUUCAGCCCACACAUUGGACAACCAAUCAGAGUUAUCACACUUCUUAGGGCAUAAAACAGAUACAUAUUCAUUAAGUUACAUAUUCCCAGUCCAAAUUAGCUUGACCCAAUUCAAGUCUUCCUUCAGAUUUUUAGAGUUCUUGCCAAAUCGUUUUCCUAUUCCCAUUUUCUCUUCACUUCCCAUUGCCCUCUUGUCCUCAAUUUCUUUUGUGUUCAUUCUCUCUCUUCUUCUUGUUUUCAGUUUCUGUCUUCUCUUUCACAAAGUUUUCUCACUUAGCUAUAAUGUAUGUUUAAUAAUACACUAUUUCAUUAUUGUGUUACUCAAAAUCCUCAAGCCACUUUAUCUCAAGAUGCAAAUACCUAGACCUCAGGUUCAAAGCUAAUAAUCUAA